GACAGGGGGGACAGGCAGGGCACAGGGAUGGGGCGUUCUGGUUGGCCGGGCAAUCACAGACCCGCUCAAAAUGGGGUAAAAUUGGGAUUCUCAGGUGGCGCGUCAAGGCUGCGGACUGUAAAUUUAGUUAUCGUACCGUUGAAGCGCUGCUGCGCGCUGCAGUUCGUCACCCCGCGGCUCUGAAGGUGAUAGAACGUUCCCACCUCAACUUUUUCUUAUAAAUGUAGAAAAUAAUGCAAGUCUGGUCGGGCCGCUAAUGGGUCAGCCGUAAACCCGCGCACACCAUUCCCAGCCCGCAGUCCUUCCGAGUUACUGACCAGAUUAAGCGUGUGAAAGUAUGUUUUGGUUUUAUAGAGCAACCAGCUGCAUUAAUAAACUCUUUGGUUUUUAUCAAAAAAUACGCCUCGCUGGGUAACCUACCCCUUGCCGCCACCGGUGAUUCAGCUGUUGGCUGCCAACAGCAUUAACUCCUGUGCCGGUACUUGCAAAGGAAGGCGCUUCCCUUUGUUUACUCAACUUUCUUGAUGAAAAGGAGCGAGUGCUUAGAUGGAUUAUAAAAUUAAUAUGGCCUGGGAGGAACAAAAAAUGGGGGAAAAAAAACACCAUAAACCCCACCGGGCUGUUGUACUGCCUCGUGUUCGAGCACACGGAGCAGCACCCAGCGUGCUUCGGGUGGUAUCGUCGCCUCCACCACCCGCUUCGGGAGAGCGGCUCCGGGUCUCUGCCCUUGGCAGGAGAAACCCGUAUUUUGCACCAACAUUGUGCGUGUAUCGAGUUAUUUCCUUUUUUUUAUGAUUAAGCAUCAACUUCUUGCUGGAGAUCAAAGCCAAACGCUCUUCCUUUUUGGCUUGCGGCGGCGCUGCAUGCGUAAGACGAGGAGAGUUUUGUGUAAUAGGUCUGGGAUCCUCAUAAAUAAGCUGACAGAGAUGAGCAUCGCUGGGGUAUUUACUGUCAAUAUCCUGCUUUUGAAGCGAGGGAGGAAAUUUGGAUGGACGGGAGCCACGGGUGACUCACGUUUUAUCCUUCUAUCAGGGUCUGAGUAUUUUUAAAGUGGUUUUAUUUGUUCGCAAUAGGGUAACUUGCUGUUUUGUCGUACCUUUUCCUUUGGGUACCUUAAACAUUUGACGAGCCUCUUGAAUCCUCACCAGUUCCUUUGAUUGCAGAGCCCGUUCUUCUGGCACGAGAGCCUCCCUCGGGGAGCCUCAGAGCUCGUGCAAGUCAGGGCUUAACGGCAGGAAGGGGACGGAAGGACAAAGGUGGUGGCUGUGAAACAGGUGCCUGGCAAGAGGGACUGUCACAGCACACAGAGAGCUACAGACGGACGCAAAGGGCAACGUCUUGGCUCCGGUGAAGUCCGGGACAAAAUUCCUGUUGAUUUUGGCAAGGCCGGGAUGUCACGGAGCGGUGAUGGAGCUGUCCCGACGUCACAGGGAGAGCCGGGAGCGGAGCGUGCGGCCUGGGCUGCCCCUCGCGCCUCCAGGUUCCCGUGCGAUACCUUGGAGGGGCCAGCGAAAUUCCCUACACAGGACGCCGGCAUCAAUCAAGUCCCGCAAGCACCAGCUACCAGUCCUGCAGUUAUCUGGAAGGACAGAAGUUUUCACUUUCCAUAAUAAACCUUUCCCUGAGGGUGUUGGGAGGGAAUCGCUCAGGCUGAGAUCUCCAGUUCAUUCAGGCAGGAUCUCGGUGGAUGUGACCCACAGCCAGAACUGCUCCUGCCCCCCGAUCUAUUCAUUGACUUGAAGAAGCACGUUCCUGAGGCUGUGACAAAGGAAAAACAAGGAAACACACGUUUGUCAUCUUUUGACCCAUCUUGGAGCUGACGUGACGGGCCGCUCCGCUCCUCCGAGGUUCCUGGGCUUCUGGGAGCUGGUGUUUCCAUUCGCGAAGCUCGGAUGCGCCGCUUGGCCUUCAUCAACCCCCGUGAAAAUGCUCUCAUCUCCGGUUUGUCCCAUGCUGCUGGCUGGCCACCCUGCCAGAGGUCACCCUCCCCUCUGCUCAACCGGCACAACUUCCCAGACCCGCUGAAACCAUCCCCGUGAGAUGAGAUCAGGAACCACUUUACCAGUGGGAAACCAGGCAGGAGAAAUCUCACCGCAAGCACAGCUGUGCCACAACCCAGGGCCAGGAGGAGAGCCCCGUCCUGAACCCACUGCCUGCAGCUCUGUGGACAGCACAGGUGCUGUGCCAGGCUACACCGCUCCGGCAACCACAGAACAGGCAGGGGCCGAUACAGGCAGGGCAUUAAUAACAUCUUGGGGAUUUUAU